CUGUCAGUGAGUCCGCCUCACAGCGCCUUCGUCCCGGACAUGUUUCACGGUUUGUCGUGGCUAACACCACCAAACAACAGCUGUGAAGUUGUUGGGUGUUCAAGCCUUCUCUGCUCCGGUCCCUCCCUGGCCCCCCUUCCGUCUCCUCGCCUUCCCUCCCCUCUCUCCCUCUCUCCGUGCGUAGUUUCGGACGAGUUCCCACAAGUUCUCCUGAGCCCGUCCUUCGCUCCCUUCUCUCCCCGCCCCAGGCCCCCCGACCGGUUGCUGAAACGCCGCUAUCUUGUCCGGCAUUCCUGGGAUACCGACACAAGCCGAGCUGACACAUCACCUGGAUACAGGCGGUGUGUUAUGUGACAGGUCAGAUUAAACCAAAACUAUCUACAUGGCUGGAAACCAAUGGAGGGGGCGGAGCUGGGAGCAGGAGGCCGAGAGGCGGUGUUUUUUAUCAGCACGCUGAAGACGGGGCAAAACACUCUGACGAAACAGAUCCUUCCUCGACUUCACCUGCAGGAAAUGAUUAGCUGGGGGUGGAAGAGGCACAACUGCCAACGUGGUGGCGGCCACAGCCACAGAUUUGGAGCCUCAAAACAACUCUUCAGAAACCUACGUGGGAUGUCAGGCAUAUGUCAUCUAUUCUUUUUACUGUCAGUGAGUUGUAGUGGUGCUAAAUGCUGGUGAUGUUAGUCAGGCCUAAUCUGUUCCUAAUUAGUCCCAACAGCUGAGACUGAUGGAAAUGUCAUUACAUUUCAGGAUAUUUUGUCAUAAAUCAAAGAAUUGGACAAAGUCAAACUGUGACCUGAUCAUCUGGACCAUGACCACCUUGACCAGACCAGCAAAAUGAUUAUAAUUCAUACUUUGAGGAGUCAGUACAAGUCAAUACAAAAUUACAUGGAAGAAAAGUAUCAAAAUAAGACUGGCUGUAGUAUCAAAGACAUUUCAUACAACAACAAUAUAUAAUAUAUCACGCUGUUGCAGAUAUACUAAAUAUCUAUAUAUACUAUGUGAAACCUUUUACAAAACAUUCAAAGCGAUGUUUUGCGCAAAUCUCUGUGCGUCUGUGAAAUCUGUGUCUGCUGUCCUCAGUUUGUAAUCGAGCCUUGGAUGCAAUACAGUAUGAUUUCGACUUAAUAAACAUUUACAAUUAACAAUUUAUUGAAUUAUUAACCAGUGCUCAUGUGUAUGUGUGUUUGCAUGUGGCCAGUGAG